rnacentral:snRNA from 1 species
AUACUUAUCUGGAUGGGGUCAAUGGGCGAUCGUUUGGCUUAGGUUGGUGACUUCUAUUGCACUUGUUAGGAAGGAUGCCGGGCUAAGGUGUACCAAAGUGGUGGAGCUUAUGUCAUAAUUUGUGAGAAUGGGAGCUUGCGUUCGCGCUGCCCCUUC